rnacentral:rRNA from 1 species
ACGGGUGAGUAACACGUGGGUAACCUGCCCAUAAGACUGGGAUAACUCCGGGAAACCGGGGCUAAUACCGGAUAACAUUUUGAACCGCAUGGUUCGAAAUUGAAAGGCGGCUUCGGCUGUCACUUAUGGAUGGACCCGCGUCGCAUUAGCUAGUUGGUGAGGUAACGGCUCACCAAGGCAACGAUGCGUAGCCGACCUGAGAGGGUGAUCGGCCACACUGGGACUGAGACACGGCCCAGACUCCUACGGGAGGCAGCAGUAGGGAAUCUUCCGCAAUGGACGAAAGUCUGACGGAGCAACGCCGCGUGAGUGAUGAAGGCUUUCGGGUCGUAAAACUCUGUUGUUAGGGAAGAACAAGUGCUAGUUGAAUAAGCUGGCACCUUGACGGUACCU